rnacentral:rRNA from 1 species
GACAGAGGGUGCAAACGUUGUUCGGAAUUACUGGGCGUAAAGCGUACGUAGGCGGCUUUGUAAGUUAGAGGUGAAAGCCCGGGGCUCAACUCCGGAAUUGCCUUUAAGACUGCAUCGCUUGAAUCAUGGAGAGGUGAGUGGAAUUCCGAGUGUAGAGGUGAAAUUCGUAGAUAUUCGGAAGAACACCAGUGGCGAAGGCGACUCACUGGACAUGUAUUGACGCUGAGGUACGAAAGCGUGGGGAGCAAACAGG